rnacentral:rRNA from 1 species
GCGGGACAUUAGCUCGUUGGUCAGGUAACGGCUGACCAAGGCAACGAUGUCUAGGGGUUCUGAGAGGAAGGUCCCCCACACUGGAACUGAGACACGGUCCAGACUCUACGGGAGGCAGCAGUGAGGAAUAUUGGACAAUGGUCGGAAGACUGAUCCAGCCAUGCCGCGUGAAGGUUACCGUCCUAUGGAUGUUAAACUUCUUUUAUAAGAGAGCAAUAAGGUGCACGCGUGCAUCGAUGAGAGUAUCUUAUGAAUAAGCAUCGGCUAACUCCGUGCCAGCAGCCGCGGUAAUACGGAGGAUGCAAGCGUUAUCCGGAUUUAUUGGGUUUAAAGGGUGCGUAGGCGGAUUGAUAAGUCAGCGGUGAAAUUCACAGGCUCAACCUGUGCCGUGCCGUUGAAACUGUCCAUCUGGAAUACGUAUGCUGUGGGAGGAAUGUGUAGUGUAGCGGUGAAAWGMAWAGAUAUUACACAGAACACCUAUUGCGAAGGCAUCUCACAAAGUCGUUAUUGACGCUGAGGCACGAAAGUGUGGGGAUCAAACAGGAUUAGAUACCCUGGUAGUCCACUACUGUAAACUAUGAUAACUCGCUGUCGGCGAUAUACUGUCGGUGGCCUAGCGAAAGCGAUAAGUUAUCCACCUGGGGAGUACGACCGCAAGGUUGAAACUCAAAGGAAUUGACGG